CGGACGGGUGAGUAAAGAGUGAGAAUCUGCCUUUUGGACCGGGACAACCACUGGAAACGGUGGCUAAGACCGGAUGUGCCCUUGGGUGAAAUAUUCAUAGCCAAAAGAGGAGCUCGCGACCGAUUAGCUAGUUGGUGGGGUAAGAGCCUACCAAGGCUGCGAUCGGUAGCCGGUUUGAGAGGACGACCGGCCACACUGGGACUGAGACACGGCCCAGACUCCUACGGGAGGCAGCAGUGGGGAAUUUUCCGCAAUGGGCGAAAGCCUGACGGAGCAAUACCGCGUGAGGGAGGAAGGCUCUUGGGUUGUAAACCUCUUUUCUCAGGGAAGAAACAAAUGACGGUACCUGAGGAAUCAGCAUCGGCUAACUCCGUGCCAGCAGCCGCGGUAAUACGGAGGAUGCAAGCGUUAUCCGGAAUGAUUGGGCGUAAAGCGUCCGCAGGUGGCACUUCAAGUCUGCUGUCAAAGCACAGAGCUUAACUCUGGACCGGCAGUGGAAACUGGAGAGCUAGAGAGCAAUAGGGGUAGAGGGAAUUCCCGGUGUAGCGGUGAAAUGCGUAGAGAUCGGGAAGAACACCAGUGGCGAAAGCGCUCUACUAGGU
rnacentral:rRNA from 1 species